CGUAACGGCACACUCAUUAAUGAGCCAGAAGCGUCGAUUACGGAAUCGAGACACCGCCUCGACGAGCUCGAGGUCCCCCAUCAUUAAUCCGCCGUAAAAUGAUCCUGGCGAUUCAAGAAGCAUGAUGAUACGAGCUCCGUCAUUAGCUCACCGAAUAAAGCAGCCUCGAGACACCAAAGGGCGCAUAUCUCACCAUGAAAGCUCCGGGAAGCACAAGGGGGCGGGCGAGACCUUCCCCCCAACCUUAGUGACAGACUUUACUUCCCACGUCCGAGCCCCACAAGCCGCUCGAACUCGGAAGUCGGG
rnacentral:lncRNA from 1 species